UACGUAGGAGGCAAGCGUUGUCCGGAAUCAUUGGGCGUAAAGCGCACGUAGGCGGUUCGUUAUGUCGGAUGUGAAAGCCCUUGGCUUAACCGAGGAAGUGCAUCCGAAACUGGCGAGCUAGAGUACUAAAGAGGAUCGCGGAAUUCCCGGUGUAGCGGUGAAAUGCGUAGAGAUCGGGAGGAACACCAGUGGCGAAGGCGGCUACCUGGACCAGCACUGACACUGAGGCACGAAAGCGUGGGGAGCAAACAGG
rnacentral:rRNA from 1 species